GACGAACGCUGGCGGCGUGCUUAACACAUGCAAGUCGAACGAAGAGCGAGGGAAGCUUGCUUCUAUCAAUCUUAGUGGCGAACGGGUGAGGAACGCGUAAUCAACCUGCCCUUCAGAGGGGGACAACAGUUGGAAACGACUGCUAAUACCGCAUACGAUCUAAUCUCGGCAUCGAGGAUAGAUGAAAGGUGGCCUCUACAUGUAAGCUAUCACUGUAGGAGGGGAUUGCGUCUGAUUAGCUGGUUGGAGGGGUAACGGCCCACCAAGGCGAUGAUCAGUAGCCGGCCUGAGAGGAUGAACGGCCACAUUGGGACUGAGACACGGCCCAGACUCCUACGGGAGGCAGCAGUGGGGAAUCUUCCGCAAUGGACGAAAGUCUGACGGAGCAACGCCGCGUGAGUGAUGACGGCCUUCGGGUUGUAAAGCUCUGUUAAUCGGGAAGAAAGGGUUUCUUGCGAAUAGUGAGAAGGAUUGACGGUACCGGAAUAGAAAGCCACGGCUAACUACGUG
rnacentral:rRNA from 1 species